GAUGAACGCUAGCUACAGGCUUAACACAUGCAAGUCGAGGGGCAGCGGGAUUGAAGCUUGCUUCAAUUGCCGGCGACCGGCGCACGGGUGAGUAACGCGUAUCCAACCUUCCGUACACUCAGGGAUAGCCUUUCGAAAGAAAGAUUAAUACCUGAUGGUAUGAUGAGAUUGCAUGAUAGCAUCAUUAAAGAUUUAUCGGUGUACGAUGGGGAUGCGUUCCAUUAGGUAGUAGGCGGGGUAACGGCCCACCUAGCCAACGAUGGAUAGGGGUUCUGAGAGGAAGGUCCCCCCANAUUGGAACUGAGACACGGUCCAAACUCCUACGGGAGGCAGCAGUGAGGAAUAUUGGUCCAAUGGACGAGAGUCUGAACCAGCCAAGUAGCGUGAAGGAUGAAGGUCCUACGGAUUGUAAACUUCUUUAUAAGGGAUAAACCCUCCACGUGUGGGAGCUUGUAUGUACCUUAUGAAUAAGCAUCGGCUAACUCCGUGCCAGCAGCCG
rnacentral:rRNA from 1 species